rnacentral:rRNA from 1 species
GAUGAACGCUGGCGGCGUGCCUAAUACAUGCAAGUCGAGCGAACGGACGAGAAGCUUGCUUCUCUGAUGUUAGCGGCGGACGGGUGAGUAACACGUGGAUAACCUACCUAUAAGACUGGGAUAACUUCGGGAAACCGGAGCUAAUACCGGAUAAUAUUUUGAACCGCAUGGUUCAAAAGUGAAAGACGGUCUUGCUGUCACUUAUAGAUGGAUCCGCGCUGCAUUAGCUAGUUGGUAAGGUAACGGCUUACCAAGGCAACGAUGCAUAGCCGACCUGAGAGGGUGAUCGGCCACACUGGAACUGAGACACGGUCCAGACUCCUACGGGAGGCAGCAGUAGGGAAUCUUCCGCAAUGGGCGAAAGCCUGACGGAGCAACGCCGCGUGAGUGAUGAAGGUCUUCGGAUCGUAAAACUCUGUUAUUAGGGAAGAACAGAUGUGUAAGUAACUGUGCACAUCUUGACGGUACCUAAUCAGAAAGUCACGGCUAACUACGUG